GACGAACGCUGGCGGCGUGCUUAACACAUGCAAGUCGAACGGUGAAGCCUUCGGGUGGAUCAGUGGCGAACGGGUGAGUAACACGUGAGCAAUCUGCCCUUGACUCUGGGAUAACUUCGGGAAACCGGAGCUAAUACCGGAUAUGACAUCUGGCCGCAUGGUCUGGGUGUGGAAAGAUUUAUCGGUCAAGGAUGAGCUCGCGGCCUAUCAGCUUGUUGGGGGU
rnacentral:rRNA from 1 species